GAUGUUAUUGAGUGCACUCGUUCAAUCCCAUAAUGCACAACAAUAACGAGUGUACAAACAAUGUACACUCAACGGCUAAAGAAUACCCAUAAUGCACUGUUAAAGUUAUGCUCAAUAAAUCUUUUCAUUACUACUGGAGUUGCCAGUUUGCUAAAUUGCAAAUGAUUAUUAAACAGCAAGCACAAACUAUGACAGUGGCAGCCCUUCUGGUGCACUCAGUACCUGAAUUCGCUCACUCGUUUUCAUUCACUCCUUCAAGUGAACUAUAUUAGGGGACAAAUGUAGGGAAUAGGGUUCCUGAUGAAAAUAAGAAUAAGGGGUUGACAAUCAUCUCCCUCCAGAGCCUAGCAUAGGAGGAGCCAGGUAAAAACAGAAAAAGAAAGAAAAGCAUUCCUUAGGAUAAUUAACCAUGGUUUCAUAAAACCAAAAAACAUGGUUACUAUAGUUAAACCAUGGUAACCACAAAUUAUCCAUGGUUUUGCUGUACUAACCCUAGUUUAACCAUGGUAUUUGUAGUAAAAUUGUGGUUAUCAAUAUGCCAAAAAAACAUGGUUAUUACACUUUUACUAUAAUAAAACCAUGGUUAAUUUUCGUAAGGGUAUGCACAAAGAUAGCACGAAAUUCUAAAUAAUUUACAGUUAUAAUUAACUGACAGUAUUUGUAGUUGCAGUGUGACUUUAACAUGCAGAUGUUGAAUGAAAUUAAGCACUCUGAACACCUUUGGUAGCUCUUUCAACGGCCGGCUAAUUUAUCAGGUCUUACAAAGACUGUAAAACCACUCAUGGAUCUACUGUUUUAAAUAAAGGAUCACAGGGUAAAUAUUGAACAAACUGAUAACUCAUAUGGUUGGAAAGGCAAGUGGUACUGCUUACACCUACAUACGUGACAUAUGCCUCUGCACUGGAAAGAUACCAGAGAAGAUCUUUGGUCUCCAUUCACAGAAAGCGUGAAGGCAGUUGAUGAUGGAUUUCAGCACGAGGAUCAUGUUUGUUCUGCUGCUGAUCAGUCUACAGCUGACUGGAGGGGAUUUCAGUCCAUCCGGCGAAAGAGCUGGUAUAUUUUCUUUCUGUGACAAUCCUGAUCGCUGACUUACCUCUACUUGAACACAUCAAACAAUUUAGGUGACAAAAAUGAGAAAUGUUUUUAAAAAUCUAGUACAAAACAUAUCAAUUUUGUAGAUCUCUGUGUUCAAGUUGGUUUCAUAAAUGUUUCAGGAAAAAAAAUCUACAAAAGAAUAACUUAAAAACUAUAAUGUAG
rnacentral:lncRNA from 12 species